GAUGAACGCUGGCGGCGUGCCUAAUACAUGCCAGUCGAGCGAACAGACGAGGAUCUUGCUCCUCUGACGUUAGCGGCGGACGGGAGAAUAACACGUGGAUAACCUACCUAUCAGACUGGGAUAACUUCGGGAAACCGGAGCUAAUACCGGAUAAUAUAUUGAACCGCAUGGUUCAAUAGUGAAAGACGGUGUUUCUGUCACGUAUAGAUGCAUCCCCGCCGCAUUAGCUAGUUGUUAAGGUAAAGGCCUACCAAGGCAACGAUGCGUAUCCGACCUGAGAGGGGGAUCGGCCACACUGGAGCUGGACCAGCGUCCAGACUACUACGGGAGGCAGCAGUAUGGAACCUUACGCAAUGGGCGAAAACAUGACGGAGCAACGCCGCGUGAGAGACGAAAGUCUUCGGAGCGUAAAACUCGGUUAUUAGGGAAGAACAAAUGUGUAAGUAAAUAUGCACGUAUUGACGGUACCUAAUCAGAAAGCCACGGCUAACUACGUG
rnacentral:rRNA from 1 species